rnacentral:sRNA from 1 species
GAGUUUGCAAGAGCCUCACUCCUCCUCCGAGAGGCGCUUGCGCGAACAGUGGCACUCCUCCUCCCAGCUGCUGUUCAUCUAUUUUAAGAAGCCUGCCGCACCUCCUCCCGCGGCAGGCUUUUUUC